AACGAACGCUGGCGGCGUGGAUAAGACAUGCAAGUCGAACGGGACAACAUCUGUAGCAAUACAGGUGUUGUUUAGUGGCGAACGGGUGCGUAACACGUGGGCAAUCUGCCGAGAAGUGGGGGAUAGCUCGCCGAAAGGCGAAUUAAUACCGCAUAUGAUCAGUGAAGACAUCUUCACGACAUCAAAGCCGGGGCAACCUGGCGCUUCUUGAUGGGGCCCGCGGCCUAUCAGCUAGUUGGUGAGGUAACGGCUCACCAAGGCUAUGACGGGUANCUGGUCUGAGAGGACGACCAGUCACACUGGAACUGAGACACGGUCCAGACACCUACGGGUGCAGCAGUCGAGAAUUUUUUCNCAAUGGGGCAACCCUGAAGGAGCGACGCCG
rnacentral:rRNA from 1 species